rnacentral:tRNA from 1 species
AGCGCUAAACAGGAAUCGGACCUGUAUUAAGACAUUAGAAGUGUCUCGUUCUAUCCAUUGAACUAUUAGCGC